rnacentral:rRNA from 1 species
CGGGUGAGUAACGCGUGAGGAACCUGCCUCAGAGAGGGGGAUAACACACCAAAAGGUGUGCUAAUACCGCAUAACAUAUGAGAGGGGCAUCCCUUUCAUAUCAAAGAUUUAUUGCUCUGAGAUGGCCUCGCGUCCAAUUAGCUAGUUGGUGAGGUAACGGCCCACCAAGGCGACGAUUGGUAGCCGGACUGAGAGGUUGAACGGCCACAUUGGGACUGAGACACGGCCCAGACUCCUACGGGAGGCAGCAG